rnacentral:rRNA from 1 species
CCCGGUGGCUCGAGCGAGGCGCAUAAAACCCGAUCCCAUCCCGAACUCGGCCGUUAAACGCCUCAGCGCCAAUGGUACUGUGUCUCAAGACCCGGGAGAGUAGGUCGUCGCCGGGC